CCUACGGGAGGCAGCAGUCGGGAAUCUUGCGCAAUGGGCGAAAGCCUGACGCAGCAACACCGUGUGAGCGACGAAGGCCUUCGGGUCGUAAAGCUCUGUUGUUGGGGACGAAGGGUUAGGGGUUAAUAGCCCCGAGCCUGACGGUACCCUUCGAGGAAGCCCCGGCUAACUACGUGCCAGCAGCCGCGGUAAUACGUAGGGGGCGAGCGUUGUCCGGAAUUAUUGGGCGUAAAGAGCGUGUAGGCGGUUCGGUAAGUCUGCCGUGAAAACCCAGGGCUCAACCCUGGGCGUGCGGUGGAUACUGCCGGGCUAGAGGGUGGUAGAGGCGAGUGGAAUUCCCGGUGUAGCGGUGAAAUGCGCAUAUAUCGGGAGGAACACCAGUAGCGAAGGCGGCUCGCUGGGCCACACCUGACGCUGAGACGCGAAAGCGUGGGGAGCAAACAGGAUUAAAUACCCUGGUAGUCCCCGCCGUAAACGAUGAACACUAGGUGUGGGCGGAAUCGAAUCUGUCCGUGCCGAAGCCAACGCGAUAAGUGUUCCGCCUGGGGAGUACGGCCGCACGGCUAAAACUCAAAAGAAUUGACGGUGGCCCGCACAAGCAGCGGAGCAUGUUCUUUAAUUCGAUGCAACGACGAAGAACCUUACCUGGGCUUGACAUGGCGCUGCCAGCGCACGGAAACGUGUGACCUUCGAUGGUGCGCCAGUCAUGCUGCAUGGCUGUCGUCUGCUCGUGUCGUGAAAUGUUGGGGUUAAAUCCCGCAACCAUUGCAGCCCUUGUGGCGUUUUGCAUUCUUUAAUGCGGACUCCCGCCGACUGACGGUGACAAACCGGACGUAAGUGGGGACAAUUUCUAGUCCCCUUGGCUCCUUUCUUUCCGGC
rnacentral:rRNA from 1 species